rnacentral:tRNA from 1 species
GGAUUGUGGCUUAGUGGUAGAGCGCUCGCUCACCUAGCAAGGACAAGGCCCUGGGUUCAAUCCUCAGCACCA